rnacentral:rRNA from 1 species
AUAAGCGGAGGAAAAGAAACCAACAGGGAUUGCCCCAGUAACGGCGAGUGAAGCGGCAAUAGCUCAAAUUUGAAAUCUGGCUCCUUUGGGGCCCGAGUUGUAAUUUGGAGAGGGUGCUUUGGUGUCGGCAGCAGCCUAAGUUCCUUGGAACAGGUCAUCAUAGAGGGUGAGAAUCCCGUAUGUGGCUGAUUGUCUUCGCCAUGUAAAGCCCCUUCGACGAGUCGAGUUGUUUGGGAAUGCAGCUCUAAAUGGGAGGUAAAUUUCUUCUAAAGCUAAAUAUUGGCCAGAGACCGAUAGCGCACAAGUAGAGUGAUCGAAAGAUGAAAAGCACUUUGGAAAGAGAGUCAAAAAGCACGUGAAAUUGUUGAAAGGGAAGCGCUUGCAGCCAGACGUGCCCGUAGUUGCUCAUCUGGGGAUUUCCCCAGUGCACUCUUCUAUGGGCAGGCCAGCAUCAGUCCGGGCGGUUGGAGAAAGGCCUGUGUCACGUAGCUGCUUUCGGGCAGUGUUAUAGGGCAGGUGGAAUACGACCAGCCUGGACUGAGGUCCGCGCAUCUGCUAGGAUGCUGGCGUAAUGGCUGUAAGCGGCCCGUCUUGAAACACGGACCAAGGAGUCUAACAUCUAUGCGAGUGUUUGGGUGUCAAGCCCGAGCGCGCAAUGAAAGUGAACGGAGGUGGGAACCCUCGGGUGCACCAUCGACCGAUCCUGAUGUCUUCGGAUGGAUUUGAGUAAGAGCAUAGCUGUUGGGACCCGAAAGAUGGUGAACUAUGCCUGAAUAGGGUGAAGCCAGAGGAAACUCUGGUGGAGGCUCGCAGCGGUUCUGACGUGCAAAUCGAUCGUCAAAUUUGGGCAUAGGGGCGAAAGACUAAUCGAACUAUCUAGUAGCUGGUUCCUGCCGAAGUUUCCCUCAGGAUAGCAGUAACGUUUUCAGUUUUAUGAGGUAAAGCGAAUGAUUAGAGGCCUGGGGGCUGAAACAGCCUUCACCUAUUCUCAAACUUUAAAUAUGUAAGAAGUCCUUGUUUCUUCAUU